UCCCUCAUGGCUCAGAUGGCAAAAACAUCUGCUUGCAAUGCAGGAGACCCAGGUUCGAUCCCUGGGUAGGGAA
rnacentral:tRNA from 1 species